AAUGCCGACAAUAUCCUUUCCCAGGCCGCUGUCUAGACCAAGCAUCACACCGUCGUCCUGGAGCUCCAUCUGGGACAGCAUCGGGAGACGACAGGGGACAAAAAAAGUGGGACAUGGUGUGCCAUUAUAAAUGUCCCACGUGUCUUUGUGCUGUGUCACUUUCCGUCAUGUUGUCAACCUAUACCUACUGUAUUCAAUGAUGCCAAUAAACGGAUGAAAUUGUA